AUCUGGCUGGCUCAGUCGGUAGAGCAUGUGACUCUUAAUCUCAGGGUUGUGAGUUCAAGCCCUAUAUUGGGUG
rnacentral:tRNA from 1 species